CGACGUUCCGGAGAAGCCGCUGAAAUAACGGUGCCGAAGGUGCAAGACUGCAAAGCAGUUCAAUCUCUCAGGCAAAAGGACGGAAAGC
rnacentral:ncRNA from 1 species